rnacentral:rRNA from 1 species
GAUGAACGCUGGCGGCGUGCCUAAUACAUGCAAGUCGAGCGAACAGACGAGGAGCUUGCUCCUCUGACGUUAGCGGCGGACGGGUGAGUAACACGUGGAUAACCUACCUAUAAGACUGGGAUAACUUCGGGAAACCGGAGCUAAUACCGGAUAAUAUAUUGAACCGCAUGGUUCAAUAGUGAAAGACGGUUUUGCUGUCACUUAUAGAUGGAUCCGCGCCGCAUUAGCUAGUUGGUAAGGUAACGGCUUAUCAAGGCAACGAUGCGUAGCCGACCUGAGAGGGUGGUAGGCCACACUGGAAGUGAGACACGGUCCAGACUCCUACGGGAGGCAGCAGUAGGGAAUCGUACGCAAUGGGCGAAAGCCUGACGGAGCAACGCCGCGUGAGUGAUGAAGGUCUUCGGAUCGUAAAACUCUGUUAUUAGGGAAGAACAAAUGUGUAAGUAACUAUGCACGUCUUGACGGUACCUAAUCAGAAAGCCACGGCUAACUACGUG